CUAUGCUAUGAUGAAAAACAUUGUCAACAGUUAUCCCUGUCUUAAUCCUCCGUGUUGAGUAAUUUAUUAAUUAGACUCUGAGCAUAA
rfam:Pseudogymnoascus pannorum VKM F-4515 (FW-2607) contig_756, whole genome shotgun sequence.